rnacentral:rRNA from 1 species
AGAGAUGUGUGAUGACGCAUAUCAAUAAGCGGAGGAAAAGAAACUAACAAGGAUUCCCCUUAGUAACGGCGAGUGAAGCGGGAAGAGCUCAAAUUUGAAAUCUUCAAGGGUUUCCCUUGACGAAUUGUAGUUUAUAGAAGUGUUUUCUGUUAGUGGAGUGGCAAAAGUUCUUUGGAAUAGGACAUCAUAGAGGGUGAGAAUCCCGUAUUUGGUCAUUCUUUCUAGCUUUGUGAUACACUUUCAACGAGUCGGAUUGUUUGGGAAUGCAGUCCAAAAUGGGUGGUAAAUUUCAUCUAAAGCUAAAUAUUGGCGAGAGACCGAUAGCGAACAAGUACCGUGAGGGAAAGAUGAAAAGAACUUUGAAAAGAGAGUUAAACAGUACGUGAAAUUGUCAAAAGGGAAGCGUUUGACACCAGUGUUGUUUUUCCGAAAAUCAAUUACGAAUGUUUUGUUUUUGAGAAGUUAUGACUUCAUCGGCUUGCUUCUCUCUUUACGAAACUUUCUUAAUGCACUUUUCGGUUAACAAGUCAACAUCAAUUUCUUUUGUUGUAAAAGGGUAUGAGGAAGGUGGCUUUCUUUUCGGAGAAAGUGUUUAUAGCCUUGUACCUCUGCAAUCGGAGAGAUUGAGGUCUGCAGCGUAGAUCCUUCGGGGUUAGAUACAUUUGUGCUAAGUUAUAGCUUUUCAUAGACAACUUGUUGACUAUGUUAAGUCUUGUAGCUUACUCGCUUAUGCUAUUUUACCUACGCUUAGGAUGUUGAGUAGCGACAUACGCAC